GGUAGGAAGCCGAAAGGUGACCGGACCCUUCGGGGAGCUUGCACAGGUGCUGCAUGGCUGUCGUCAGCUCGUGUCGUGAGAUGUUCGGUUAAGUCCGCUAACGAGCGCAACCCUCGCUGUGUGUUAUAUGUGUCACACGGGACUGCCGGUCUUAAGCCGGAGGAAGGUGGGGAUGAUGUCAAGUCAGCAUGGCCUUUAUAUCCUGGGCUACACACACGCUACAAUGGCCAACACAAUAGGUUGCUAAGCCGCGAGGUGGCGCCAAUCCAUAAAGUUGGUCUCAGUUCAGAUUGUAGGCUGCAACCCGCCUGCAUGAAGAUGGAGUUGCUAGUAACCGCAGGUCAGCUAUACUGCGGUGAAUACGUUCCCGGGGCUU
rnacentral:rRNA from 1 species